rnacentral:rRNA from 1 species
AGUGAACGCUGGCGGUAGGCCUAACACAUGCAAGUCGAACGGCAGCACAGUAAGAGCUUGCUCUUACGGGUGGCGAGUGGCGGACGGGUGAGGAAUACAUCGGAAUCUACUUUUUCGUGGGGGAUAACGUAGGGAAACUUACGCUAAUACCGCAUACGACCUACGGGUGAAAGCAGGGGAUCUUCGGACCUUGCGCGAUUGAAUUAGCCGAUGUCGGAUUAGCUAGUUGGCGGGGUAAAGGCCCACCAAGGCGACGAUCCGUAACUGGUCUGAGAGGAUGAUCGGCCACACUGGAACUGAGACACGGUCCAGACUCCUACGGGAGGCAGCAGUGGGGAAUAUUGGACAAUGGGCGCAAGCCUGAUCCAGCCAUACCGCGUGGGUGAAGAAGGCCUUCGGGUUGUAAAGCCCUUUUGUUGGGAAAGAAAAGCAGCAGGUUAAUACCCCGCUGUUCUGACGGUACCCAAAGAAUAAGCACCGGCUAACUUCGUG